rnacentral:sRNA from 2 species
AAGAAUAAUUGUUAGGUGAGGCUCCUAUACGGACAUAAGCUGCUGCCGCGAAAAAAUCGAGAGAUUUUUAGUUGGUUGAACAGGGAUAAUCGUGAAGGUUAUCCAUAAUGUAGCUGAUAGUAAAUACUAUCUACGCCCUAUAGUGCUAAAGCUCAACGAUGGACAUGAUU